ACCAGUGUGGCAUAGUGGUUUGUGUUAGAUUAGGACUCUGGAGACUAGAGUUCAAAUCCCACCUCAGCCA